rnacentral:rRNA from 1 species
GUGCCAGCAGCCGCGGUAAGACAGAGGGCUCAAACGUUGUUCGGAAUCACUGGGCAUAAAGGGCGCGUAGGCGGCUCGUUAAGUCGGUUGUGAAAUCCCCCGGCUCAACCGGGGAACGGCAUUCGAUACUGGCGGGCUCGAGGACGGGAGGGGUAAGUGGAACUCCAGGUGGAACGGUGAAAUGUGUAGAUAUCUGGAGGAACACCGGUGGCGAAAGCGGCUUACUGGCCCGUAUCUGACGCUGAUGCGCGAAAGCUAGGGGAGCAAACGGGAUUAGAUACCCUAGUAGUCC